UCUCUGUUCACUGCCGCCGGCCGCUGCACGAGAGAGAGAGAGAGAGAGAGAGAGAGAGAGGGCGAAGGCGUGAUGGCAAUCAAGCCAGGCUUGGCCGAGGCCGCACCUGUGUGCGACGCGAGGACGGGACCUGCUCUCUGCCCCCACGCCAUCUCCCCCCAAAUCUCGCGCAGCAGCAGCUGAGGACCUCUGAUGUGGCGCCACUCCGCCGUCGCUUCCAGCGCGGUGGAUCUGUGUUAAGCACGCAGUAGCAUCGUGUCCAGAGGUCCGGUGAGCGCGGAGGUCCAGCGGGGAACUGGAUGGCCCCAGGUCGGGGCUGCCGAGGUCCUCCGCUGCCUCUGUGCCUGCAGUGAUGGGCGCGUAGUCGCGGCACGCCAGGUACAGCGCGCAGGCCCCGUGCGCGGCCGUGAUUCCAGCAAGGACUAGGCGGUAGCCACCAUGACACAGGCAAGAAUACUACUACUGUUCUUAUUCGGGUAGCAUCAUGCAAGUUUAAGGUGGAAACUUUGUGUAAUUUUGGGCACACACUUCGGCAAUCGGAUAUACAAAUAUGCCAGUAAAGGACAUGUAAGUUCCAUUGUGGAGGACAUGUAAGUUCCAUUGUGGAGGAUUUUUGACACUCUUGUGAGCAGUAAGAUUGUCAAUUGCUCAAAUGCUUAUCCAAUCUCCAGUUAGAUGCUUUAGAAAUUGACAUUGUUGGAAUAUUGAAAUAAACAAUGUAUCGAAUUCAGUUUUAAAAACAAUGUAUCGAAUUGAUGGAUUGGUUAUUGUUGCCAUGCAGUGAUUUUUUUUUUUUU